GACGAACGCUGGCGGCGCGCCUAACACAUGCAAGUCGAACGGAGCUAUUUUGAUAGAUCCCUUCGGGGUGACAUUGGCUUAGCUUAGUGGCGAACCGGUGAGUAACACGUGAGGAACCUGCCCUUCAGAGGGGGACAACAGUUGGAAACGACUGCUAAUACCGCAUAAGACCACAGAGCCGCAUGGCUCAGGGGUCAAAGGAGAAAUCCGCUGAAGGAUGGCCUCGCGUCCGAUUAGCUAGAUGGCGGGGUAACGGCCCACCAUGGCGACGAUCGGUAGCCGGACUGAGAGGUUGAUCGGCCACAUUGGAACUGAGAUACGGUCCAA
rnacentral:rRNA from 1 species